CAGCCGCCGCGGUAAUACAGAGGGUGCGAGCGUUAAUCGGAUUUACUGGGCGUAAAGCGUGCGUAGGCGGCUUCUUAAGUCGGAUGUGAAAUCCCUGAGCUUAACUUAGGAAUUGCAUUCGAUACUGGGAAGCUAGAGUAUGGGAGAGGAUGGUAGAAUUCCAGGUGUAGCGGUGAAAUGCGUAGAGAUCUGGAGGAAUACCGAUGGCGAAGGCAGCCAUCUGGCCUAAUACUGACGCUGAGGUACGAAAGCAUGGGGAGCAAACAGGAUUAGAGACCCGCGUAGUCCCUGUCUCUUAUAU
rnacentral:rRNA from 1 species